rnacentral:rRNA from 1 species
CCUACGGGGGGCUGCAGUGGGGAAUAUUGGACAAUGGGCGAAAGCCUGAUCCAGCCAUGCCGCGUGUGUGAAGAAGGCCUUCGGGUUGUAAAGCACUUUCAGUGGGGAAGAAAGCCUUGGGGCUAAUACCCUCGAGGAAGGACAUUACCCACAGAAGAAGCACCGGCUAACUCCGUGCCAGCAGCCGCGGUAAUACGGAGGGUGCGAGCGUUAAUCGGAAUUACUGGGCGUAAAGCGCGCGUAGGCGGUCUGAUAAGCCGGUUGUGAAAGCCCCGGGCUCAACCUGGGAACGGCAUCCGGAACUGUCAGGCUAGAGUGCAGGAGAGGAAGGUAGAAUUCCCGGUGUAGCGGUGAAAUGCGUAGAGAUCGGGAGGAAUACCAGUGGCGAAGGCGGCCUUCUGGACUGACACUGACGCUGAGGUGCGAAAGCGUGGGUAGCAAACAGGAUUAGAUACCCUAGUAGUC